CCCAACUUCUUGCCCAUGGAUGGGAGCCUCUUGCAUGAGCACCAAGGCCCCGGAUCCACGUACAAGAGCAUCUUCCAUGUGUCUCUAGGUGGGACCAUCUCACCCACGUCCAUGCCCACGGAGAAAAACAUCUUGCCCAUGUCCGUGCCCAUGGAUGAGAGCACCUUCCAUGAGCACCAGGGCUGGGGAUUCACCUCCGAGAGCAUCUCGCACGUGUCCAUCUCAAACGAGCGCUGUGGCCACGUGCCCACAGAUGGGAGCAUCUCACCCAGGUCCAUGUCCAUGGGUGGGAACAUCUCCCCCAUGUCCGUGCCCGUGGAUGAGAACAUCUCGCAGGAGCACGUGCCCAUAGAUAGGAGCAUCUUGCCCAUGGAUGGGACCAACUUGACCAAGUUCAUGCCCAUGGAUGAGACCAACUUGGCCAAGGUCAUGCCCAUGGAAGGGACCAAUUUGCCCAAGUUCAUGCCCAUGGAAGGGACCGACUUGACCAAGACCAUGCCCAUGGAAGGGACCAUCUCACCCAAGGCCAUGCCCAUGGAAGGGACCAACUUGACCGAGACCAUGCCCAUGGAUGAGAUCAUCUCACCCAAGGCCAUGUCCAUGGAUGGGACCAACUUGACCAAGACCAUGCCCAUGGAAGGGACCAUCUCACCCAAGGCCAUGCCCAUGGAAGGGACCGACUUGACCAAGACCAUGCCCAUGGGUGAGACCAACUUGACCAAGACCAUGCCCAUGGAUGAGACCACCUCCCCCAAGGCCAUGCCCAUGGAAGGGACCAACUUGCCCACGUUCAUGCCCAUGGAAGGGACCAACUUGAACAAGACCAUGUCCAUGGAAGGGAUCAACUUGCCCAAGACCAUGCCCAUGGAUCAGACCACCUCACCCAAGGCCAUGCCCAUGGAAGGGACCGACUUGCCCAAGUUCAUACUCACGGAUGAGACCACCUCACCCAAGGCCAUGUCCAUGGAAGGGACCAUCUCACCCAAGUUCAUGCCCAUGGAAGGGCCCAAGGCCACACCCAUGGAGGGGACCAUUUCACCCAAGUUCAUGCCCAUGGAUGAGACCAACUUGGCCAAGGCCAUGCCCGUGGAAGGGACCAAUUUGCCCAAGUUCAUGCCCAUGGAAGGGACCGACUUGACCAAGACCAUGCCCAUGGAUGAGAACAUCUCACCCAAGUUCAUGCCCAUGGAAGGGACCAACUUGACUGAGACCAUCACCAUGGAUGAGAUCAUCUCACCCAAGGCCAUGUCCAUGGAUGGGACCAACUUGACCAAGACCAUGCCCAUGGAAGGGACCAUCUCACCCAAGGCCAUGCCGAUGGAAGGGACCAACUUGCCCACGUUCAUGCCCAUGGAAGGGACCAACUUGCCCAAGACCAUGCUCAUGGAUCAGACCACCUCACCCAAGGCCAUGCCCAUGGAAGGAACCAUCUUACCCAAGUCCAUGCCCAUGGAAGGGACCACCUCACCCAAGGCCAUGCCCACAGAUGGGACCAUUUCACCCAAGGCCAUGCCCAUGGAAGGGACCAACUUGACCAAGACCAUGCCCAUGGGUGAAACCACCACACCCAAGGCCAUGUCCAUGGAUGGGACCAUCUCAACCAAGUUCAUGCCCAUGGAUGGGACCAACUUGACCAAGACCACGCCCAUGGAUGGGACCAACUUGACCAAGACCAUGCCCAUGGAUGAGACCACCUCACCCAAGGCCAUGUCCAUGGAAGGAACCAUCUCACCCAAGGCUAUGCCCACAGAUGGGACCAACUUGACCAAGACCAUGCCCAUGGGUGAAACCACCACACCCAAGGCCAUGUCCAUGGAAGGGACCAACUUGCCCAAGACCAUGCCUAUGGAUGAGACCAUCUCACCCAAGGCCAUGCCCAUGGAAGGGACCGACAUGACCAAGUUCUCCAAGACCAUGGCCAUGGAAGGGACCAUCUCUCAGGAGCACAUCCCUAUGGAUGACACCACCUCC
rnacentral:lncRNA from 1 species